rnacentral:rRNA from 1 species
AGGAUGAACGCUGGCGGUCUGCUUAACACAUGCAAGUCGAACGGGCGUAGCAAUACGUUAGUGGCGGACGGGUGAGUAACGCGUGAGAAUCUACCUUCAGGACGGAGACAACAGUUGGAAACGACUGCUAACCCCCGAUGUACUGAAAAGGCAAAUAUUUAUAGCCUGAAGAAGAGCUCGCGUCCGAUUAGCUAGUUGGAGAGGUAAAAGCUCACCAAGGCGACGAUCGGUAGCUGGUCUGAGAGGACGAUCAGCCACACUGGGACUGAGACACGGCCCAGACUCCUACGGGAGGCAGCAGUGGGAAUUUUCCGCAAUGGGCGAAAGCCUGACGGAGCAAGACCGCGUGGGGAAGAAGGCUCUUGGGUUGUAAACCCCUUUUCUCUGGGAAGAACACAAUGACGGUACCAGAGGAAUCAGCAUCGGCUAACUCCGUGCCAGCAGCCGC